CUCCCGGGUCUGUCCCGGCCGUGAAGUAGCGUUGGAUGCGUGUGCCUAUCCACCUCCGACCCUUAAGCCAGAGACUCAGCCACCAGAGAAACGGCGGAGAACAAUUGAGGAUUUCAACAAAUUCUGCAGUUUUGUUUUGGCAUAUGCUGGUUACAUUCCCCCUAGCAAAGAGGCCCCCGACAGUGCUACCUUGCUUGAGAAGAUGAAGCUCAAGGACUCUCUCUUUGAUCUGGAUGGGCCCAAAGUGGCAUCUCCUUUGUCCCCCACAUCCCUGACACAUACCUCCCGGCCCCCUGCUGCUCUUACCCCC
rnacentral:lncRNA from 1 species